UACGGAGGAUGCAAGCGUUAUCCGGAUUCAUUGGGUUUAAAGGGUGCGUAGGCGGCUUUUUAAGUCAGUGGUGAAAUCCUGCCGCUUAACGGUAGAAUUGCCAUUGAUACUGAAGAGCUUGAGUACAGUUGAGGUAAGCGGAAUGUGUAGUGUAGCGGUGAAAUGCUUAGAUAUUACACAGAACACCAAUUGCGAAGGCAGCUUACUAAACUGCAACUGACGCUGAUGCACGAAAGCGUGGGGAGCGAAC
rnacentral:rRNA from 1 species